rnacentral:lncRNA from 1 species
GAAAAAACAAUUUUGUUUUUCCUAAAGGAAAAAAUGAGAAAAAUGGUAAUGAUUGGAUUAAGAGGAGAGAAAGAAAAUUUCCAAGAUGUGUAUAGAGUUAUCUAUGAAUGGUGAGCUGGCAGAGGCUUUAAAUGUUUUGUUUUUUUAAACACGAUUUUAUAAUUUAAAAUUUUCUAGGGACUGGCUCCGUGGCCAAGUGGUUAAAUUCACAUGCUCUGCUUUGGUGGCCCGGGUUUCGCUGGUUCGGAUCCUGGGCGCAGACCUGGCACUGCUCAGCUCAUCAGGCCACACUGAGGUGGCGUCCCACAUAGCACAACUAGAAGGACCUACAGCUAGGAUAUACAACUUAUGUAAUGGGGGGCUUUGGGGAGAAGAAGAAAAAAAAGGAAGAUUGGCAACAGAUGUUAGCUCAGGGCCAAUCUUCCAAAAAAAAAAAAAAAAACUGACCAGCGUAAAAUGUCAAAAGAAAUUUCUAUAAGCAUAAACCAUUUUUAUAAUCAGAAAACACAAAUUAAUAUUUUUAAUUUACUUUAAUUAAUACUUUUAAACAGUAGACCCAGCAUUGGAGGUUUGUGGGGUUCCAAGAUGGAAGCUCCAGGCUGUCUGCUUGGCCAGCCCCCAGCCCUCUUACGGAUGUUGACCUUUUACCAGCGGGUAUUGAUUCCUAUGACUAGAGUUUGCCUGUGAACUCAGCAGCUGCUCUUGGAGAAGGAACAUGUCCAGGCUUGGUAAGCAUUCAUGCCUUCCAGUGGCAGAGACUGUAAGAUUCUUCGUUGGGAGCAAUCUUGUGAAUAUAAAGUGCUCUAUCUGUGGAAACAGUUGAGGAAAAGAAGCAGGAAUCUGGUAAGAGAAUAUGCACUUGAGGCUUACCUUUGUGCGUGAGAAAUCCGUUCAGGGAAGACAUUCUCACCUAGAAGGAACAUCGGCUGGUUUGGUUGAAGCGGGUAGCAGAGGAACACUGGGUGCUCCCUCUUCAGCAGCCAUCCAUCUCCCCUGCUGGGUGGCGCCACAUUUGGUUUGGUGGGCUGACCCCAUCCUUGCUCCAGGGUGGACCUUAAGUGACUAAUACCAGUCUGGAGAAUCCUGCCUGUUGGUCCAGGGGAAGACACCUGGCCUGAAUUUUCCCAAUUGAACUGAAACUCAGAACUCAUUUUUAGUGUUUGGGGAAAGAAAAAGAUUUCACAUCUUCUAUGUGUUGUGGCAGGUAUGUUGAUAUGAGACCUAGAAUAAUUUCAGCCAUUUGCUACAUGAAGGAAGCCAGCCUAAGGGCCAAGACAACAUGUGGAAGAGAAGAGAACCAAGGAUUGCAGGAAAAUGGGACCAGAGCCCUGAGCAAUCCCAGUUUGAAACCCUUGUGCCUCUGGACUUCCCCUUGGGAGGCCUAAUGCACUCUUUUUAAUUUCUACUCCAUUUCGAGUUCAAAUUUCUGUUACUUCCAACCCAAAGCAUCCUGAUUGGUGCAUGAUAUGCCCCACCUACCUUUCCAGAAGAGCUGAAACUGUCAACCUUCGACUUUAGUGUCCUCAUUAUGAGGGGCUCUGAGAAUCAGAUCACUUUCCUCUCUGACUAGUUUGAGGUUUUACAAUUCCCCAAGGGGCUCAAAUGGAGCCAGAGCUCCUGCUGCGGUCAGGCUGAAGGAUGCACACCUUUGAGAAUUUUCCAAGGCAGCAGGAAAAACAACUCAGAUCACAGUUUCAAAUAGAUUUGGGACAGGGCAGGGCAGAGCAAGACUGUUGACAGAAGCAUCUGGAAACCUGUAGGACUGAAAUGUCCCCCUCUGCUUCCUGAGCCUCAUAGGGAGAGUGGCUGUCUGGCCAGGGUCAAGUUUCUCUCUGUUUCUGUGUAUAUGGAAAGACCGAGGCCACGGUCGAUUAUGACACGUAGUUAAAUGUUUAGAAAUUAUAUAGAAUGGACAUCAGAGUUAAAUUUAGGAAAGUUCCAAAGUUACACUUUUCUUCUGAGUCUCUGGCCCAUCUUUUCUCCUUUUAUUUUUCAACCAAGUAGCAAAUGUUCACUGCUCUUCAAAAACUUCUUUUAGGAGAGGAUGGACCAUCAGCUACAUACUC